UACUUGCUCGACUAUUUAUAAAUAGAAAAUUUGGUAGUUGGUAGUUUUGGAAGUUGGUAGUUUUGGUAGCUGGUAGUUGGAUUGAUAUUCAAAAUUGUAAAGCCACUAUGAGCAAAUCAACACCAGGCAAAUAAUAAUUAUCUGUUAUCUGAUAACCGAUAGCUCACAGUUAACAUUGCAAUUCAAAAAUAUGGAAGUGGGA